GAGAGAGAGAGAGAGAGAAAUAUAGAGGGUGGAGAGAAGACAGAAGAGAGAGAAGCAUUGGGCAAAGAAGGAGAGAACCACCAGUUGCUGAAAGAGGAAGUGCUGUUGUGAAGACAGGACAUUCUCAACAGCUCGAGAAGCAGCACUGAGGUAAGCAUGGGAGUGAUAAAACAGCCGUCAAGUCUGGUCCCAGGUUGAGGUUAAUGCUAAUCGUGAUAGGGGUUGUUCAAUACCAGACACCUAACAUGUUAGCAUUAGCUUCACUCUGUGAGAGCUCACCAAGAGGAAAAAACCAACCCCUGACUAACUGGAGACUGCUGCUACCACUGGUGCUGGGAAGAAGGACUCAUCAUGCAACUGGGGAUUAUGAUGCAUACGCAAAAAGGGAAAGUAAUGGACUGACUGUUCAGACUCAAGAUGCUGCAGUCAUAGCAAAGUGAAAAGGCCAACUUAAAAGCUUUUAAUACACCUCUGAUUCUUAUGUAAAUGUCAGUUAUUUUAGCUGAUCACAUCUCUUUUCAAGCAUGUGCAGGCCCCUGACUUCUUUAAGUUUCCACUGAGUAUAUGCAAUUAGAUUGUCUCAGCAAUUUCACAGCGGAGGUCCAUAAACCUGAGAGGAGGUCUGAUCCCCCAAAAUAAACAGAGAGGUGGUUGUGUGCACCCUAUCACACCCUAUGUUUAUGCCAGAUGCAGGACACCACAAUCAGUGAAGGUAGAGAGCAGUGUACGCACACCGGGGACACUAUACUGCUGUUGUCUCAGUGGACAAGGGCUUUAACAAAAUCACUCAUGUGAUAUAUGCAUCACUUAUACCAGGAAAACUAAAAAAAAGUAUGUAUUCUUUUAUCAGCUUAAGUUAAAUUUUCAUUUUUCAUAAACUAAGUACAUAAUUGACAACCAUGUGACGAGAAAUGCAUUGUCACAAAGAUGAAAAUGGACCUCACAAAGAGCAGAUGUUUUAACAUUAGUCAUGUCGAGUUAUGGGGGAUUUUUAAAUCUGCCCUAUGUUGUAUUUAAUUUUGGCUCAACAGAGAUAAUUGUGUUUGAAAUUGCAGCAAUUAGAGACAAAAAAGGGAAAGGAGAAAGAUUUUUUAAAAAAAAUCUGAAUCACAGUUCAUUUAGUGAAAAAUCAUUGGUUCUCAUCAUCAGGAGAACCAAAAACCAAGGAACUUAGAUUUGUUUUGAGAUUCACUUUGUAUUUGUACUGUAUGCCUUUUUGUUGGUUAGAUGUUUAAGACAAAAGGUGAAUUCAUAGGCUGAUUUCUUUCUUGUGUUGUGUUUGGAAUCUGCCCUCUAAAUGUAUGUCACAACAAGAAAAUAAAAUCAACCCUAAACAUC